GUGAAUCAUCAAAUUUUUGAACGCAAAUUGCACUCCCUGGUAUCCCGGGGAGUAUGCCUGUUUGAGGGUCGUUAGAAGAAAAAUCGAAGCAUCGCUCUUUUUUGUAGGGUGAUCGCGGCGGAAUUGAUCCUUAUUUCAAUUGUUAAUUCAUGUCAAAUUGGCUUUAUAUUCAUCCUUUCGGUCCGAUUAAAGUGUUUUUUAGAUCUAUUUUGUUUAUGACCGCAUC
rnacentral:misc_RNA from 1 species